CCUACGGGGGGCAGCAGUGAGGAAUAUUGGUCAAUGGACGAAAGUCUGAACCAGCCAUGCCGCGUGCAGGAAGACUGCCCUACGGGUUGUAAACUGCUUUUAUAUAGGAAUAAACCCUCGUUCGUGAACGAGGCUGAAGGUACUAUAAGAAUAAGGACCGGCUAACUCCGUGCCAGCAGCCGCGGUAAUACGGAGGGUCCAAGCGUUAUCCGGAUUUAUUGGGUUUAAAGGGUCCGCAGGCGGGAGAAUAAGUCAGUGGUGAAAUCCUGUCGCUUAACGAUAGAACUGCCAUUGAUACUGUUUUUCUUGAGUAUAGAUGAAGUGGGCGGAAUGUGUCAUGUAGCGGUGAAAUGCAUAGAUAUGACACAGAACACCGAUUGCGAAGGCAGCUCACUAAACUAUAACUGACGCUCAUGGACGAAAGCGUGGGGAGCGAACA
rnacentral:rRNA from 1 species